UCUUCCUCUUUAUCGCUCACUCUCUCUCUCAAUCUCACCCAAAAGAGCAAAGAAACAGAUACUCCUCUCCUUCAAUUCUGAUUUUCUUUACAAUCCUUCUCCUUGUUUCUACACAGAGCAAACAUAAAUCAAUAGAUUUUAUUCCCAAACUGAUACUCUUCGAUUACUAAAAGAAAAAAACCCUAGUUAUAUCUUUCACGCCGCACCUCGCAUACUCUCUUUCAUUCUGGUUUCCAGAGACCUAGAAAAGCUUAGACGUUUCAUCACUUUCUUCGAUCUACAAUCAUAUACUUCGAUCUAUAAAAUAAUUUCUUUCUUACCGUGAUAAUCGAAGAAGAGUACAACAGAAAUCAGUGAAGAUAUUUUGAUUAAAAGCUAUUCUUCCAUUUGGAAUUAGUAGAUUUCUAAAGGAUUUUGGUUUUGAAGGAGAAGUUUAUGUUUUUCCUUCAAUUACUGCACUAGUUGAUAAUCUAAUUGAUAGUGUUGGUGCUGAAGCAGGGCAUGUAAUAGCAACUACCGUGUGGCUUGUAUGAUACUAUGGAUAUGCUGUAGUAGAGGGUGGUGGUGGUAAAGGAACUUGGGGAAAGCUACAUGAUAUGAUGGUGAGUGGCAUCUCUAUAGGAAUGAUCCAAACUAUGACAGUGGAGAGCUUGUCGGUUCUGCCAUUUCUGAUCCUUUGGAUGAUUACAAGAAAGUUGUUGCUGGCCUUAUAUAGGAAUACAUCAGCACUGGUGAGUACAAGUGGCAGCCACUGACCUGAAAGACCUUGGCACAAGCGAAUAUCACCCAUACUUUGUUAAGAGAUUGGUAUCCAUGGCCAUGGACAUACAUGACAAGGAAAAGGAGAUGGCUUCUGUUCUGCUGUCAGCUCUCUACGCAGAUGUAAUCAUCUUAGUGCAUAUCAGUCAAGGAUUUGUUCUGCUUCUUGAGGCUGUUGAUGACCUGGUGGUAGACAUAUUAGAUGCAGUUGAUGUCCGCUCUCUUUUUGUUGCCCAAGCAGUGGUAGAUGACAUCCUUCCUCCAUCCUUCCUUAGCAAAGCCAAGAAGGUUCUCCCAGAAUCCUCCAAAGGGAUCCACCAAGUUAUUCAGACUGCUGAAAAAGAGCUACCUUUCAGCUCCUCAUCAUGCAGAAUUUGUGGAUAAAGGAUGGGUCAAUCGAGGAAGGUCAGGACUUAAAUAAUUGGUUUUCAGUUUGAUUUUUCAUUUGACUGGAUGGAUUUGGAGUAUCUGCAAUGCCCAACGAUUUCUCCUCCCUCAAGCACUCUUAUAAGUAACCUCGUAUUACAAUGACUUCCUUUUGAUAUUGUGCCAUUUUAGAGUAUGGUUGGAGCAGUUGAGGCGAAAGUGUUGCAGAUUUGAUAUAAAAACAGUAGCAAUAGAAGACAAAUUGUGUACCUUCUAAAUUACCCGGGUACAAAAAACUGCAGCGGUGGGAUGAUUCUCUCAAGGCGUGCACUGCCAAAGAAUCUCAGGAAGCCAGUUUGGAUGUUACAUGUCAUUCUUACCCUACCGGUCACCGUUUGAGAUCGUAUCUGUUGAUACAUGAAAAAUAACAUCCCUUAGAGGGAUGGGGAUGCCCCAAAGAGUAGGGAUAAAACUUGGGUCAAGACGUAGGAGCUUGGGGACUAAACCCAAGCCCACAUAAAAGAUAUCCAUAAAAGGUGGAAGGACAAAGGAGGAAUUAACAAAAAAGGAAGAGGUUAUGUUAAGGAAUGUCAUUAGUGGUAAUUAAGAAGGUUUAGAACAUGUGGCAUGAUGUCAUAAAAAAGAGGUUUUUAUAAAAGCCUAUAUAAGGAAGGACAAGGUACAAUGGAAAGACAACUCUCUCUCUUACUAUUAUUGGUAUUGUGAGGUCAUGUGCAA